UCCUAACUAAACAAAAAUGACCUGGUUCCCAUUGCGUCUCUUCUGUACUCGUUAGCCACGAGCAGCCGUUGACGACUUUCCUCUAAACUCCGGCCACUAACACCAAGUCACCGAUCGCAGACGGGAGGGAUAGAUUUAUGUUUGGCUAACGGGCAAAUAGAUAGAAAAGGAAAGAAAGGAAGGUACAAUUUCAAGGAGAAGAGAGAAUGAGGUCAUCUUUUACUUCCGGUGCCAUAAAUAUUGCUGCGAGUGCUCAAACGCUUGAUGUUGAUAAUCGGAUUUCUCUUCGAUACUACUAUCGGAUCGCUGAUAAUAUUCUCAAACAGGCUGACAUCUUUCGAGAAGAGAAGAAUAUCAUAGAUCUGUAUAUAAUGCUGUUGAGGUUUUCAAGCUUGGUAUCAGAGACGAUACCAUGUCAUCGAGAUUAUGGGUUGUCUCUACAAAGCAAAAAAGUUCAUUUGAAAAAGAAAUUGUUGAAUGCUUUGAGUGAGUUGGAGGAGUUGAAGCCAAAAGUGCAGCAAAACAUUAAUGAAUUCAAUAGAAAACAUACACGUCAAGUAAAUGGGUGGGGCAAUGUUCAUCAACAUGAUUCAUUAGAGUGGCCUCCUGUCAAAAAGAAAACUUUGACUAGCUAUGAUGUGACAAAGGCGGUGGGACCAGCUGCACGAGCAUUUGUUUAUCCAGGUUCAGGAACUCAGCAAUUUUCACAUGCUAGGCCAGUGGAAGAGCAAUUCAGAAGAAUAUCUUUAAAUUUACCUCGUCCUAAGGAGGAUACUCUUUCUAGACAUUCUAUAUUGGGUCCAAAUGGGCUACAUGGUCCAUGGCAGCCACCUAGGAGUGAUAAAGGAGUCCAGUAUCCAAGCAACUUAGACCUCACUCCAGUUGCAAUCCCUAGCCUGCAACAAUCCGCAGAAAAUGGGGUUAGAGUGAAAGAGGACACCAGCAAUUUGGAGCCUCAUAACCUGCAGCAGUCUGAAGAAAAUGGAUUUACAAUAAAAUCAGACAAUAGCAGCGCAGAACUUGAAAGAGCAAGUCUAGAGUCAGUUCUUACUCUGAAUGUUGAUAGUCAGAUGCACUCUGCUCAAGAACCCUCUUCCAUGAUUUCCUUUGAAACAACAGAGACCCCUGUUCAGAAAGAUUUGAUUAGACAGCCAUCUCCUCCAGCUGUACUUGCAGAAGUACAAGAUUUGAUAUCUUCAUUGUCUUCCCAAGUUACUGAAGCAGAAAAUAAAAUGGAUAUUUGCUCACCUGAUAAUUUUGUUCAUUCUGAAUCUCCCCUGCAACUGCAUAUUGUAAGAUCGUGGGCAACCUUGUUUUUACUGUGAUUUAGUAUCUUCUGUGAGUUUUGCUCUUAGUCAAGAAUCUUACUGAGGAUGCAUAUUGUUACUGCUAUUCAUUCUCUUUAUCCUGCUAAAAUUUUUCCAUUUUUAACGUUUGGGGUUUCCGCAUAUUUUUCCCUUUUUUUGUUUGUAAUUUAACUAUUUGUUACCUAUAAAUUUAUCCCAGAUUAAUGUAGCUAGCAAAAUAAAAUAAGGGUGUUUUGGGAAGGUUAUGCAAGCUUGUGCAUUCUCCAAGUUACAAACACAUCGUCUUCUUAAAAAGUUGGAAAAUUUGAAUAAUUUGUAUGACAAACAAUGCGGUAGAGGGAUCAUCUGUUGAUCUGUGGUCUUCUACUAACUAUUGUUUUUCUUUGCAGUCAACAACAUUGAUGGAGAACUUCAUGAAGCUGGCAAAGUCAAAUACUGAUAAGAAUUUAGAAACUUGUGGUGUCCUAGCUGGUUCCCUUAAAAACAGAAAGUUCUAUAUUACAGCUCUCAUUAUCCCAAAGCAGGAAUCUACAUCAGAUUCAUGUCAGACCACAAAUGAAGAGGAAAUAUUUGAAGUGCAGGAUAAACGAUCUUUAUUCCCCCUUGGGUGGAUACAUACGCAUCCUACACAGUCUUGUUUUAUGUCAUCGAUUGAUCUUCACACCCAUUAUUCAUAUCAGAUUAUGCUGCCAGAAGCUGUUGCCAUUGUCAUGGCACCAAGAGAUACUUCAAGAAAACAUGGCAUUUUUCGGUUGACAACCCCUGGUGGCAUGUCGAUCAUAAGACAGUGCCAGCAACGUGGAUUUCAUCCGCAUAAUCAACCUCCAGAUGGUGGGCCUCUUUACAAAGCCUGUACAGAUGUCUAUAUGAAUCCCAACCUAAAGUUUGAUGUUAUUGACCUACGGUGAUCUUAUUUGUUGAAUUUCAUUAGAUAAUGUUUUGGCAAUGUAAUUGUUCAUAGAUUAUCCAUUUGUGCUGGCGACCUUACCUUUGAUUCUUAAACUGUAAAAUUUCUUGUGUAAAGAAGGGGAUAUUACAAUUGCCUGGAUAAUAAAAUCCAUCCGUCCAUCACUGGAACUGGAACGUACAUCUUCAAAGUUUUAUAACGAGGAUAAGGC
rnacentral:misc_RNA from 1 species